AACGAACGCUGGCGGCGUGCCUAACACAUGCAAGUCGUGCGAGAAAGUUCCUUCGGGAGCGAGUAAAGCGGCGCACGGGUGAGUAACACGUAGGUAACCUGCCCCCCAGUCUGGAACAACUAGAGGAAACUCUAGCUAAUGCCGGAUGAGACCACGAUCCCUUCGGGGUUGCGGCUAAAGAUGGCCUCUACUUGUAAGCUAUCGCUGAGGGAUGGGCCUGCGGGCCAUUAGCUUGUUGGUGAGGUAACGGCUCACCAAGGCUGUGAUGGCUAGCUGGUCUGAGAGGAUGACCAGCCACACUGGGACUGAGACACGGCCCAGACUCCUACGGGAGGCAGCAGUGGGGAAUAUUGCGCAAUGGGCGAAAGCCUGACGCAGCGACGCCGCGUGGGUGAUGAAGGCCUCGGUCGUAAGACC
rnacentral:rRNA from 1 species